AUGGGUGGCGGUGGCCUCGGUGCCAUGGGUGGCAUGGGUGGCUUCGGAGGUACCGUGGGCGGUGCAAUGGGAGGCAUUGCUGGCUUUGGAGCACCCCCUGACGCUAUGGCCACCAUGGGAGGCAUGAGUUUUGCUUCUCUCAUGGGAGGCAUGGGUGCACCUCCGGCCGCCAUGGGCGGAAUGUCUUUCGAUGUGCCUCCUCGCACACAUUCCCAUGAAGAUGCCGUUGAAGAUCUUGCCAACACCGUCGGAGCUUCACGUGAUGCGGUGCGCGAUGAGGAGAGGGAGGAAGAUUCAUCUUCGGAGGCGGAAGAAUCGUCUUCCGAAGAUGAGGACGAGGACGAAGACAAGGACGAGGAAUGA
rnacentral:rRNA from 1 species